UACAGGGGUGCAAACGUUGCUCGGAAUCAUUGGGCGUAAAGCGCACGUAGGCGGUUCGUUAUGUCGGAUGUGAAAGCCCUUGGCUUAACCGAGGAAGUGCAUCCGAAACUGGCGAGCUAGAGUACGAAAGAGGAUCGCGGAAUUCCCGGUGUAGAGGUGAAAUUCGUAGAUAUUGGGAAGAACACCGGUGGCGAAGGCGGCUCACUGGCUCGUAACUGACGCUCAUGCACGACAGCGUGGGGAUCAAACAGG
rnacentral:rRNA from 1 species